rnacentral:rRNA from 1 species
GUCGGUAAAACUCGUGCCAGCCACCGCGGUUAGACGAGCAGCUCAAGUUGAUGAAAUGCGGCGUAAGGCGUGGUUAGGAGAAAACUACAAGUAAAGUCAAACGCUUUCAAGGCCGUUAAAGGCGCCCGAAAAGUUGAAGCCCGAUUACAAAAGUAACUUUAUUACCCCCGACCCCACGAAAGCUGGUGAAACAAACUGGGAUUAGAUACCCCACUAUG